UUAACAGUCAGGGGAAAGAAAAGGACCCGACAAAAGGUCAUAAGUAGGGGAAAGGUCGUCAACACUGACGCUUGUUGGUUAAAACUACCAACAGGAAGCAAGUGUGUGCAUUUAGUUUUAUGCUAAAAAUGUACAAGCAGAGGGGCAGAACUUUUAGACUGCGUUUAAUCUUUAGCAGGCAAGGACACGCAAGGCUUUUUAAAAUCCGAAACCCUCAAGGUUAUUUCGUAGCGGCCGGACAAACAGUUUCAAGACAAACGGAGACCCAAAAGUCACUGAAGUUGGGUUGACCAUACGUACCAUUGAGUGGCAGAGGGUUGUCUCCUCCUGGAUGGGGGAAACCCAGGCGACCUGCACAAGGAGACAAAGAACAGAAAUAUUGAACAUGUUGGUGCCUACAUAUGACUACAUUUAAAACACAAAGGGUGUCCUGCUCGGCCCUCAUGAUGUCGAUCAGGGAGCUCUCCAGUGUGUUCAUGUUGAAGCUGUCAAAGGACCUGGUGCGCUCCUACAGAAAGAAGAGAAAGACGAGAAACAUUACUUACUAUUCAUUCCUCUGUUUCAAAGACAUGAGAAAGAAAUGCAAUAUGUGGAAACCAAUAGUCUUUAAAGUUGACAAUCCAGCUGGUCCAUUGAAGCAACUUGAGCAAUUACAUUCAUCUAUAUGUUUUUAUGUAAUGUUGCCUAAAUUAACCAAAGGUCAACAGAGAGCACAAAC